AACGUGGCAUUUACAGCCAUGCUUAAAUCCAACAGCUUCCUAAACCUCACAUUAUUUGAAGUUUGGGUCUGAUCAGCUGAGGUUCAUCUUCCCUUCAGUGUAAAAACUGAAUCACUUUUGGUUGAAGAAGUCGCAGCUACAACCUCCCAUUGCUGAAUUCAGUGUUACAAUCACUACAUCUGGUUCUACAUUAACUCCUUCUGAAAUGAGUGGUGGAGGUCAAAUAUUGGGCUAAUUAAACUAAAUUAAGGCUUUGCUUAAGAGACACAAUGUGAAGAUGCCUUGCUGGAUAGGAAAGUACUGUGUGAUAGACUUGGAAGCCUCCUCCAGAACAUGGCCCCAGGCUUUCAGGCUGUCCUCAGAGGGCACUGCUUUCUGUGCCUUUAUCUUGCACUCAGUGGGUAUCAAUAACUCCAGCAUUUCCUUGCCAAGAAGCUUUCUCCCAGGGGUUUUAUAGCCAUUUAACAUAAAGCUGGUAGUAACAUUGUCUGCUGGCUGAGACUGUCCAGAAUUAAACAAGAUUGAAUGCAGAAAGGAUAUUUAUCUUCAGCAAACUCAAACAUUUGAGAGUAUAAUAGAAUUGGAAGAAGAUCUAGAAAAUUAAAAAGAAGGGACAUUCUUCCACUUUGAUGAGGUGCUGAAGGAGCUUUCAGUCAAAGGAAAACCCAUUUUCAUUUGUCAGCUGGCCAGGUUAUUGUUAUCAUGUCUUCAAGUUCAAAGAACAGAAGGAAGAGGGCAAAGGAAUCUUCUCCAGCCCUGUAAGGCAUGGCAGUGACACCUGGUUCUUGGCAUUGCUGUGACAGAGCCCUGGGUAAUCAGUCAGAGAAGGGAAAUAUAUUAGAAAAUGUACCUUGUGUUAGAAAAAGUACCCAUAUGUUCUGUAUAGAGUGAUUUCCCUUGGUGUCUCUCUGGAGAUUUCUGGAAGUUUCUCCUGGAUUGUCCAAAGUCCCUCCACUAAAUCAGCGCUUGAGCCACGCUCAAACUUCCUGUGACCAUGCUGUGCUUCAGCAUCUCUGACCUAAAUAACAUAUUAUAGAUAAUAGAAUUAAGAUUUUUUUUUUAAACCAGUAAUAGUUUAAAUUACUUCAGAUUUUUCUUUUUCCAUCUGUCCACCCAUUCCUUUCCCUUGCAUCUAUUCUUCUCAUAAAACUCAUAUUUUUCCCUCCAUUAUCUUUCAUCCUGCUCUUCCCUGAGCCCUCUUUUGUCCUUUCUGACCUAUCUUCCCACUUAAAAUACUUUCUUCCUGGCCUCAUGGAGCAUUGCCAUGGUGACCACAUGACGUCAUUGCACUGGGAACAGUUGCCUAGGAAACCAUAUGAUGUCAUUACACUGGAGACAGUUGCCAUGGUUACUGAGUUGGCUGAGGGAACUGGGAAAAAGAGUUUGUCAUCUGACCAGUGCCAGGAAAUGUUCCCAUUAAUGGCAAUAAAGGAGAGACCUUUAUUUAUAUUUAUGUUUUUAUGUUCCAGGGAGGGCUGCCUGUGACUCAAAGACCCCAUUGGUUUUUCUGGGAUAAUGUGCUGUGGCUGGGCUUUUGCCUCUGGGCUGUGGGAUCUUGCUCACCUGUUUCUGCUGUUCAGUGUUACUGUGAACAUCAAGCCACAAGGAAAUGGAGAAAAGCUGUGUUGUCCUGUGGUUCUGUGUCAGAUGGGAUUGCAACUUCUGUUGCUGUUUGAUCUGUCCUGUUUGGUUCCUUUGGUUUCUGAGAUAAAUAGCCCAGCCCAGUAUUUAUCCCAGCAGAUGUACAGUAACAGGGAAUGUCAUAGCUGAGCUUGCUUCUUCUGCACCAGGCUCUAUGUGAGUCUGUAAUUUGUUUUCCACUUCUUUCCUGCCUUUCCCAAUUUCUGUUUCAUCAUUGCUGACACGUACCUGUCUUGUUUUAAUAAUUCCAGGAGUUCCCAGAAAUGUCCUACAUGAAAGGUGAAGCAGAGGUUAAAUAAAAAGUUGGAGGCAGCUGCUAAAGACAAGUAAGUGCCCUGCAGAUGCUCUGGAGUUCACGAGACACCAGUUACAGACUUCCCACUGAAGUUCAUGAAAUGAACCCUUCUCUGCUCCCCCUGGGUCCUGUCCUCCUCAAGCUGAAAAUCAAAAUCCAGAAUAAAACUCGUGCAGUUCCUAUGGAGCUGCAAACAAAGAUGCAGUCAGAGAAACUACACGGAGUGGUGGUGGCAGGCCAGAUGGCAAGGAACAGAACAGCUCUUGGAGGUGGAAAGCAGCAGCCAGUGAGCGUUGGGAGCUCCCAGCAGUCAGAAUAUCCCGAGCUGGAAGGGACCCACAAGGAUCGUCA